UACGGGGGGGGCAAGCGUUGUUCGGAAUUACUGGGCGUAAAGCGCACGUAGGCGGAUUGUUAAGUCAGGGGUGAAAUCCCGGGGCUCAACCCCGGAACUGCCUUUGAUACUGGCAUUCUCGAGUCCGGAAGAGGUGAGUGGAAUUCCGAGUGUAGAGGUGAAAUUCGUAGAUAUUCGGAGGAACACCAGUGGCGAAGGCGGCUCACUGGUCCGGAACUGACGCUGAGGUGCGAAAGCGUGGGGAGCAAACAGG
rnacentral:rRNA from 1 species